rnacentral:lncRNA from 1 species
GUAAAGAGAUGCUUUCAGUCAGCUAAAAUCAAAUUCCCGACAUUACAUAUUACAAAAGGCUGUGAACAGCUCCAGGAUAGACGACAUACCAGGAUAAGAAACUACAACGCAGAAAAAGAAAAAAGUACAAUACAAGAAAGUUGUGCUUCAAGCUUCUUUGCCGGUAUCCUGGACAAAGUUGGGAGGGUUUACGAUACAGUCUCCUCACGAGGAUUCUUCUAGCAUUGUUACCUCCCGACUCGAUCGCAAAGACUGCGGAGGAAAGUUGCAUCCGGGUGUUCUUCACGAGAAUUCUUCUGGCAUUAGACUUCUAAGUGGACGCUACUCCUAUAAAAAACUACAAACUUCAAGCCUAAA